GCCCGGAUAGCUCAGUCGGUAGAGCGUGAGGCUUUUAAGAACCUUAAGGCCGUGGGUUCGAGCCCCACUCCGGGC
rnacentral:tRNA from 1 species